UAUAACUCCCUGUAAUUGCGGAUUAUUGCAUACAUUCUAAUUGUUUUAUCACAACCCAUAUUGUGGUCGUUGGCAUCGAACUUACUAGAAUACGACUAGAAACUGUCAAUCAUACGUUAUCGAGGGAAAGGAUGAAAGUUCCAUAACAAGCAACAGUUGUUUUGAUGCAAUUAUCGCCUUAUUGGCAAGUUUUUACAUCUUCAAUAUUGAGUACUGCCACACGAAGAGCAUCUUGUCUGCUUUGCAGACUAUAGUAGUGCAUGGGCAAGACAGAAAAUGGCAUAUACAGCUGCCAGUGAGGGUCACAGCCCUCUUCAAUGACUUGUCAUGACUCAUGAGUAUUAGUACUACAGUAAUUUUACACUUUUUGAGAGUUAUGUUGACAUAUGCUAACCCAAGUUAAUGUUAUUGAUGGAAUGUGUGUAUUGUCUCACAUCUCACCGAACUGUGGUAAUGUAUUAGAAAUUAUUCGUAUUGCGUUCAUGUUAACAACCGCGCCUGCUAUUGCUAUCACAAGUUGAUUGCUCUUUAAAAUUAGAAUUGUAAACUUUCGGAGCCAUAUGGCAUAUAUGUACGAAUCUUUUGAUGGUUCCCACAUUUCGGUGAGAUCCAUAAUACUGACUACUGUGCAUGUAUAUUGUAAUUUUAGUUAUAGUAUUGUGUUUAUAAUACAGAAAUUGGAACAUUUAUCUCAACUUAUAUUGCAAUAAUUCAUUCCAAUCUUGGUCUGUUGGAGAAAUUGUAAUAAUUUAAUCAAGACCAAAU